GACGAACGCUGGCGGCGUGCUUAACACAUGCAAGUCGAACGGGAGUAUUGAAGAAGCUUGCUUUAGAGAUACUUUAGUGGCGGACGGGUGAGUAACGCGUGAGGAGCUGUCCAAUGCAGGGGGACAACAGUUGGAAACGACUGCUAAUACCCCAUAAGCCGAGAGGCAAAAGGAUUUAUUCGGCAAUGGAGGUACUCGCGUCCUAUCAGCUAGUAGGUGAGGUAACGGCUCACCUAGGCGAAGACGGGUAGCCGGCCUGAGAGGGCGAACGGCCACACUGGAACUGAGAUACGGUCCAGACUCCUACGGGAGGCAGCAGUGGGGAAUAUUGGGCAAUGGGGGGAACCCUGACCCAGCGACGCCGCGUGGGUGAAGAAAUCCUUCGGGAUGUAAAGCCCUGUUGUAUGGGAAGAGCGGAAGACGGUACCAUACGAGGAAGCCCCGGCAAACUACGUGCCAGCCGCCGCGGUAA
rnacentral:rRNA from 1 species